GAUGAACGCUGGCGGCGUGCCUAAUACAUGCAAGUCGAGCGAACAGACGAGGAGCUUGCUCCUCUGACGUUAGCGGCGGACGGGUGAGUAACACGUGGAUAACCUACCUAUAAGACUGGGAUAACUUCGGGAAACCGGAGCUAAUACCGGAUAAUAUAUUGAACCGCAUGGUUCAAUAGUGAAAGACGGUUUUGCUGUCACUUAUAGAUGGAUCCGCGCCGCAUUAGCUAGUUGGUAAGGUAACGGCUUACCAAGGCAACGAUGCGUAGCCGACCUGAGAGGGUGAUCGGCCACACUGGAACUGAGAAACGGUCCAGAAUCCUAAGGGAGGCAGCAGUAGGGAAUCUUCCGCAAUGGGCGAAAGCUUGAAGGAGCAACGCCGCGUGAGUGAUGAAGGUCUUCGGAUCGUAAAACUCUGUUAUUAGGGAAGAACAAAUGUGUAAGUAACUAUGCACGUCUUGACGGUACCUAAUCAGAAAGCCACGGCUAACUACGUG
rnacentral:rRNA from 1 species